rnacentral:lncRNA from 1 species
GAUUUCAUUAUACGUAGUCGGUCAUACACAAAAAUUAAGAACCGUGCAUAGCUUGUGAAUGCGGUCAAGACAUGUUAUAACAACUUCAGCUCUUGUUGGUAAGUUGUUUCAGAGAAGCGCGCGUCUCCUAGAAAAUGUUAGAGUAUGCCAUCUUAGUGUAUUAUCAUAAAAUGCAUAUGGGGUUUCAGCAGCUUGUUACAGAUUAAUUGCAAAUGGGAGAUUGCUGUUUCAGGGGAGACUUUGUCAAGUAAUGAUAUAUACAUCCUCUAUAUUCCUCUUUCUUGUUUUUUCAAUCUCCUUGUUCAGUUUAUUUGUUUAUUUAUUGGGAAUGAAUUACUCUAUAUUAUGUUCUGCUUCCAUGUCUAACUUCUUUUCUUCUUCUUUUUUUGGUUUUUUGCUAGUCGAAAUGUGGGCUCAGAAUACACCUAAAAAAAAAA